AGCCCGUUCUUAUAGACUUAUAGUUAUAACUAGGGUUCUUACUUUCACUCUUCUCAAGCCGUCAUGCUCCUCUAUCAUUUCACUCUAUCUCCCUCUUCUCCUCACUCAAUCUCCUCUAUUUUUUUCAUCUCUAUGUGGAUAUACGAACAACGGAACAAGCAUAAGAUAGUGCCCUAACUUCUACGACUGAAGAUGCUUCGAUGGUGGUUCCGGGUCCUGUUGGUGAAUUACUCGCGAAGAUUCGGUAGAUUCAGAAUGCAAAAUGUGUCGAGAUUCAAAAUUCUAUCUUUGAAGCUUGCAGCCGUCUCUCUCUUCUCUCUCCUCGGUUCUCUUUUGUGUUCUCUCUCCUCCGUGGUUAUCUUCUCUAUUCUUUGUCCUCGAAAAUCACUAUAAUCAUGGAGAUUCAGAUGAGCAAGAAGCGAAAGUUCAUCGCUGAUGGUGUAAUCUGUCGACUUGAGAUCUUGGCUAUAGUUUGGAAUGAAGCAGAUCUGAGGUCUUGAAAGUACACAGAAGGCUUGUGCUGGGUCAUGCAUUAUUAUUAUGGAGUCUGCUCAUGGGAGUGGUGAGUUAGUUUGACCACCAUCUUCCUCUGUCAUGCAUAAUCUUCCUGGUUCGACCUCAGGGAAUAUCGAUGAGUCCGAGAGACCGGUCAAUACAGCUGCAGGAGAUAUGUUAUCUGCAACUGAUGCAGAUGAAAAACAAGGUUAGGAAGAGAAUGCUGACAAGAGAAUGCAGAUGCAACUGUUCUAAUGAUGUCAGAUUAAAUUUGCUGAGAAUUUAACAGGAAGUCAUAAGUGUAUAUAGGAGAGUAUAAAAAAACAAGUAGUAGUACAGUGUGUAAUACAAGAUUUGUCUAGCAUUUACAUGAUAUUUUACUACAGAUACGCAGGUGUUAUUAGUAUUGUUGUUUGUCAAGGAAUAAUAAGUCUUUUAGAAUGUAAUAAUUUGGGUGGUAAAUGGAAAGAAGAAUAGGGGGUAUUUGUAACUAGCACCUGAAAUGCUAGUUACAAAUGCCCCUAAUUUUUUGUCUUA